rnacentral:lncRNA from 1 species
GGGAUCUGUGUCUCUCGCUGGUGCUGGCACAGGAGCUUGGGAUCUGUCUCCUCUUUCGCCUCCUGCACCUUGAGAGCCCUGGGCUACUCUGUCACAGCCCCUGUUGCCCUGCGAUCUGUAGGUCCUUGGGGACGCAUAGUUAAGGUGCCAGGACAUCCUGGAAGCUGGGAAAUGACCAUGGCUGGAGAAGGAAAGAAGGUGUGUUUUGCCUGAUUCAGGGACUAUAGAGAGAACCAAGUUCUGCAGGCCUGUCAUCUAAGUCUCAGCUGGGUGUCACAAACUCUGAACUGGAUUCCAAGGCUUUCAUGAAUGCACUUAUGUUUGCUGUGGCAGCUGCAUUAUGUCGUGGGGGAUGUGGAUGCAGAACCUCCCAUUCUGUCGUCUUGCUUAUGUUACUCUCCUUUAUGUUUCACUUUCUCAAAUGAAUGUCAAGCAGGUGAUUUUCAGAUUCAAAAGUUCUAAAAUAAAUUGCUCAAAUUUACACAUUAUGUAAGCUGUUAAUAAAAUUUCUUGUAGGUGCUACAUAUUUAUUAAAAUUUUUGGUUGUAAUUUUAAGCUCACUGUAGGCAGAAAGGAAUCAUUAAGAUUUCUAUUCUUUUUUAGUCUGUAUCUAAAUGACCAUAUAUUUUAAUUCCAAAUAUUUACUUUAUACUUCAGUAAUGCUCAUUGUAUUUUGCAAAAUUUAUAUUGUUCUUUUAUUUGAAAAUAUAAGGCUUUUUUUAGCUCCUGAAAUCUAUAUUAUAGUCAUAUAGUUUUAUUAUAGUAUUUGAUAAGAAGAGCAGCAACAUAUUGAGAACAGAAUAAAAUUCUGCUGUCUUUUUAAUGAUUAUUUAUUAAAUUCUUCUCAUUAAAGCCUAUUAUUAAUGAUUGUAAUGUAUUUACUGUAUAAUUUUACUGCAAUUUAUUAAAUGCCAAUGACUU